ACUGAACGCUGGCGGCAUGCCUUACACAUGCAAGUCGAACGGUAACGGGCCUUCGGGUGCCGACGAGUGGCGAACGGGUGAGUAAUGCAUCGGAACGUACCUUUCAGUGGGGGAUAACGUAGCGAAAGUUACGCUAAUACCGCAUAUUCUGUGAGCAGGAAAGCAGGGGAUCGCAAGACCUCGCGCUGAUUGAGCGGCCGAUGUCAGAUUAGCUAGUUGGUGAGGUAAAGGCUCCCCAAGGCGACGAUCUGUAGCGGGUCUGAGAGGAUGAUCCGCCACACUGGGACUGAGACACGGGCCAGACUCCUACGGGAGGCAGCAGUGGGGAAUUUUGGACAAUGGGGGCAACCCUGAUCCAGCCAUGCCGCGUGAGUGAAGAAGGUCUUCGGAUUGUAAAGCACUUUAAGUCGGGAGGAAGGGCUGUAGGCUAAUACCUUGCAGUUUUGACGUUACCGACAGAAUAAGCACCGGCUAACUUCGUGCCAGCCGCCGCGGUAACAC
rnacentral:rRNA from 1 species